rnacentral:rRNA from 1 species
CCUACGGGAGGCAGCAGUGAGGAAUAUUGGUCAAUGGUCGGGAGACUGAACCAGCCAAGCCGCGUGAGGGAUGAAGGUACAGAGUAUCGUAAACCUCUUUUGUCAGGGAACAAAGGCGGGGACGUGUCCCCGGAUGAGUGUACCUGAAGAGAAAGCAUCGGCUAACUCCGUGCCAGCAGCCGCGGUAAUACGGGGGAUGCUAGCGUUAUCAGGAUUUAUUGGUGUUAAAGGGUGCGCAGGCGGUCUGUUAAGUCAGCGGUGAAAGCCCGGGGCUCAACCCCGGCCCGCCGUUGAAACUGGCAGUCUCGAGUUGGAGAGAGGUAUGCGGAAUGCGCGGUGUAGCGGUGAAAUGCAUAGAUAUCGCGCAGAACUCCGAUUGCGAAGGCAGCAUGCUGGCUCCACACUGACGCUGAGGCACGAAAGCGUGGGUAUCGAACAGGAUUAGAUACCCGAGUAGUC